rnacentral:lncRNA from 10 species
CUUACAGAUAAAGAAGCUGAGACUCGGAGGAGUUAAAUCACUUGCACAGGCCAGGCACAGUGGCUCAUGCCUGUAAUCCCAGCACUUUGGGAGGCCAAGGCAGGAGGAUCACCAGAGAUUAAGAGUUCAAGACCAGCCUGACCAAUAUGGUGAAACUCCGUCUCUACUAAAAAUACAAAAAUUAGCCAGGUGUGGUGGUAUGUGCCUGUAGUCCCAGCCAUUUGGGAGGCUGAGCUAGGAGAACUGCUUGAGCCCGGAAGGCAGAGGUUGCAGUGAACUGAGAUCAUGCCACUGCACUCCAGCCUGGGUGAUAGAAGCGAGACUCCAUCUCAAAAAAAAAUCACUUGCUCAGGGUCACACAGCAUGUGAGCGUCAGAGCUGGGACCCAUCUUUGAAGCCCAUGGUGGAUUUUCAACGUAGAAGUAGAGGGAAGGGCAGAAGAGGACAUAGAAAAAGGUCAGAAGCUGAGAGGGGUGUCUCAUUCAAUGGCCCCAUAAAGUCCAGCUACUAAGAGAAAAAAAAAUAAAAAGUCAGCAUUCUCAUCCGCCACCCCGGAGAAGGUAUGGAACAUAGCCAUCCCUGGCUCCUCACAGACCAUUUCGUUGUGAACCAUAAACCCCACCCAGGUAACAAAUGUACCAUUUCAUGGUCAGCAAGAGCGGUAACUGUCACUGGAGAAAUAAAACUGAGUUAUUGUUUCCAGUUUCCAAAGAACAGCAACAAGUAUAAAAAAAAAAACCUGUAUGUGAUCCCUGUCCUCUUCCCCUCAAGACACCUGCAGCCGUCUAAUGUUUCACUGAAUCCUGCCACAUAAAUGCAUAGCUUCACUCACUAAUCCAUAUGGCUCCAGAGACCACUGUUACAUGAGAACUUAAACUGAUGGGGCCAGGCAGCCCAGGGCAGCUUAAUCUUUUUUAAUUCAAAUCGACUGAGUCCCAUGUGGCCCGGAGAUGAUACCCUAUAUGCUGCAAUCAGACUGACCUAGACUUCUUGUGCUCUAAAUGAUUAAUGAAACUGCCUCGAGUUUGUUUCUAUGGUGACUGGAAACCCGACCCGGACAGAGGAAUCUGCCAUUCACGGUGAAUGGAACGGAAAGAGGGGAACAGGGGGACCCUGGCUGCUGGUGCUGGUCUUGAAGAGAAGAUGCCCAAAUGCCUCAACUCCUCCCCCAGGCCGCUGCUGUGGGUUCAGAAAUUGCAGUGAGGGGAGAGGAAGAAAAUGGCCCUCCUAGGGAAGUUUUAACUCAACAAAACUGCAGAAUUAUUUUAUUCUCCCAAAGUAUUCCUAAAGCAAAUGACCAAAGAAGAAUUGAGGGAAGUUAGUAUUUAAUUCACAUUUGGUUUCCUAAAAUAAAUACAUGAGUAACUUAAAGAAAACAAAACCAUAAAAUCUUUGAUUCCUUCUUUAGAAUGAAUGGUUUUUGUCUACUAUGAACAUGACAAGAGCUGCUGAGUAUUUCGCAUGACCUGUGCACUCUCUGGUUCUAUGUAGUUUUAUUUGUUUCCCCUCCUUAUUUAACAUAGGCUGAAUUUGGGCUUCAUGCAGCAAAACUUUGCUGUCAGAACUGUCAGAGGCCAGCUGAGCAGAACUUGGGGGGAAUUACAUGCAGCUGGUGGAGAAGCAAUGGAUGUGAAGAGUUUGUGCCAAGGGUUACCUGCUGCCAUCCACCUGGCACGACAGUUGGGUCCUGCUUCAGGAUGGAGUUGAUCCUAGCUUUCUCAGCAGAGCCUCCAAACCCUGCCAGGUGCCCAAGUGCCACAAAAUACGGAACCUUUAGAGAGGUCUCAUACAGGGACCACCAAAGGACAAAUGUGAACAUCUGAAAUCUGAUGCCUCGUCCAAUUGCUAUUGACCGAGGGAUGGUGAGUAUGGGAGUUCAUGGGGGCAUCCUUUCCUGCUUUCUUCCCUCCUGCUCACCUACCUUUCUUCAUUUGAUCUCUAGCUACUUCCUUCAACACUCAGUCCCCCUGCACAUCAGCCUGUGAUGCCUUGUAUUUCCCAUAGAAGAAAUUCCAGACUUUUGUAAGACACAUGCAGGUACCUACGAGGUUCUGCCCACCUUCCAUCCCAGCUUCGUCUCCCACUCAUCUCUGCUGACUGACUGUUCACUGCCUGACCUAUGUCCAUGACUUGCCAGUUCUCUGCCUUUGCUUGCACUGUUCCCUCUGUCUGCAAUGCCUUCCCCAUCUCCAUCUGUUGGAAUGCUCCUUUUCCCCACGUUCCAGCUCUGAUGCCAUCUCCACAACAGGCAUCUCAGCUCCUCAGGCACAGGGUCUCUUCCCUGCCUCUCUUCCCCACUGUGGUAUCUUUUAUAAUAAACAGUACCCCUGACUCUGCCUUGCAUGAUGGGAAAUCUUGUUCUUGGUCACAGAGCUCGGCACAUAGCACGUGCUCAAUCUGUGUUUGCCAACUUGAAUUUCUAUUUCCAACCUUACUUCUAGCUGGUAGGGUCAUCUGGCCACACUAUCUGUUAUCCCCAUGAUGGUCACUGCUUGCUGUCCCUGAGUCAACAAAGGCUUCAGGACUUUGUGGCUCAGAAAACAGUGAGGGAUGCUUCUGGGAAGGCAACCAGGAACUGCUCCACUCAGCUCUAAGCCUCUCUUCCCACCAAGCUGGAGCUCAUCUGGCCUAAGUUUCUGCAAAU